rnacentral:lncRNA from 1 species
AGGACUCUGAAAAAAGAUACGAAAGAAAUCUGUCUCUCACGCUCCUCCUUCUAUUGAUCGAGAUUUUGACUUGAGCAUCAGAAAGUCCUCGCUGGAGCCAUCUCUGGUUUGAACUUUUUUACAGAUCGUGCACCCAGGAGACCUACCUUAUCAUCAACUCCAGUGCUCCGACGUCGAGCGAUUUCUUGCAUCAACAGAUUAAUGCUAGAGGAAGGA